UGGCGGUGGUGGUGGUGUUGUCGAAUGGUGCACCUUGUGCACUGGCGUAAGCCCGUGCAGCAAUGUAGUAACGGCCUGUCGUCUGGUCGGCUUUCAUGAGGACAUCGGUGGUCUGACCCGGUCCAAGCAUGAGGACUUUCGUGGUAAAGGGUUUUACGAAGCAUCCGCUCCCACCACUGUAAGCUUGUGGUUAGCAAUAGUGAAAAAUAGUUGUUGAUUUAGAGCAGCAUUGAUCACCCGAAUUAGGCUUGUUUCUCCUGGGUUGACUGGUACUUU
rnacentral:lncRNA from 1 species